CUACGGGACGCAGCAGUGAGGAAUAUUGCACAAUGGAGGAAACUCUGAUGCAGCAACGCCGCGUGGAGGAUGACGCAUUUCGGUGUGUAAACUCCUUUUAUGAGUCAAGAAAAUGACGGUAGCUCAUGAAUAAGCACCGGCUAACUCCGUGCCAGCAGCCGCGGUAAUACGGAGGGUGCAAGCGUUACUCGGAAUCACUGGGCGUAAAGGACGCGUAGGCGGGAUAUCAAGUCAGGUGUGAAACCCUACAGCUUAACUGUAGAACUGCACUUGAAACUGGUAACCUAGAGUAUGGGAGGGGGAGAUGGAAUUAGUGGUGUAGGGGUAAAAUCCGUAGAUAUCACUAGGAAUACCUAAAGCGAAGGCGAUCUCCUGGAACAUAACUGACGCUAAGGCGUGAAAGCGUGGGGAGCAAACAGGAUUAGAUACCCUUGUAGUC
rnacentral:rRNA from 1 species